rnacentral:rRNA from 1 species
CAAUAGCGUAUAUUAAAGUUGUUGCAGUUAAGAAGCUCGUAGUUGGACCUUGGACCUGGACAGGCGGUCCGCCUCACGGCGAGUACUGUCUUGCUGGGUCUUUCCUCUUGGUGAUCUGUUGUUUCGGCAGCAGGGAACCAGGACCUUUACUUUGAAAAAAUUAGAGUGUUCAAAGCAGGCUCGACGCAGGAAUAUAUUAGCAUGGAAUAAUAAAAUAGGACGUGCGGUUCUAUUUUGUUGAUUUUUGGAAUCGCCGUAAUGAUUAAUAGGGACAGUCGGGGGCAUUAGUACUCACAUGCUAGAGGUGAAAUUCUUGGAUUUUGUGAAGACUAACUUCUGCGAAAGCAUUUGCCAAGGAUGUUUUCAUUAA